rnacentral:misc_RNA from 1 species
AGUUUACAACUCCCAAACCCCUGUGAACAUACCUAUACGUUGCCUCGGCGGAUCAGCCCGCGCCCUGUAAAAAGGGACGGCCCGCCCGAGGACCCUAAACUCUGUUUUUAGUGGAACUUCUGAGUAAAACAAACAAAUAAAUCA